rnacentral:rRNA from 1 species
GGCUCAGGAUGAACGCUGGCGGCGUGCCUAAUACAUGCAAGUCGAGCGAACAGACAAGGAGCUUGCUCCUUUGACGUUAGCGGCGGACGGGUGAGUAACACGUGGGUAACCUACCUAUAAGACUGGGAUAACUUCGGGAAACCGGAGCUAAUACCGGAUAAUAUUUCGAACCGCAUGGUUCGAUAGUGAAAGAUGGUUUUGCUAUCACUUAUAGAUGGACCCGCGCCGUAUUAGCUAGUUGGUAAGGUAACGGCUUACCAAGGCGACGAUACGUAGCCGACCUGAGAGGGUGAUCGGCCACACUGGAACUGAGACACGGUCCAGACUCCUACGGGAGGCAGCAGUAGGGAAUCUUCCGCAAUGGGCGAAAGCCUGACGGAGCAACGCCGCGUGAGUGAUGAAGGUCUUCGGAUCGUAAAACUCUGUUAUUAGGGAAGAACAUACGUGUAAGUAACUAUGCAC